GAUGAACGCUGGCGGCGUGCCUAAUACAUGCAAGUCGAGCGAACAGAUAAGGAGCUUGCUCCUUUGACGUUAGCGGCGGACGGGUGAGUAACACGUGGGUAACCUACCUAUAAGACUGGAAUAACUCCGGGAAACCGGGGCUAAUGCAGGAUAACAUGUUGAACCGCAUGGUUCUACAGUGAAAGGCGGCUUUGCUGUCACUUAUAGAUGGACCCGCGCCGUAUUAGCUAGUUGGUGAGGUAACGGCUCACCAAGGCAACGAUCCGUAGCCGACCUGAGAGGGUGAUCGGCCACACUGGAACUGAGACACGGUCCAGACUCCUACGGGAGGCAGCAGUAGGGAAUCUUCCGCAAUGGGCGAAAGCCUGACGGAGCAACGCCGCGUGAGUGAUGAAGGUCUUCGGAUCGUAAAACUCUGUUAUUAGGGAAGAACAAAUGCGUAAGUAACUGUGCGCGUCUUGACGGUACCUAAUCAGAAAGCCACGGCUAACUACGUG
rnacentral:rRNA from 1 species